rnacentral:rRNA from 1 species
GCUGAAAGCAUCUAAGCGUGAAGCCCACCUCAAGAUUAGAUUUCCCAUAGCGUAAGCUAGUAAGACCCCUUGAAGAACACAAGGUUGAUAGGCUAGAGGUGUAAGUGUAGUAAUACAUUCAGCUGACUAGUACUAAUAGGUCGAGGGCUUGAUCUU